rnacentral:rRNA from 1 species
UUAAGUGACUAAGCGUACACGGUGGAUGCCUAGGCAAUCAGAGGCGAAGAAGGACGUGCUAAUCUGCGAAAAGCUUGGAUGAGUUGAUAAGAAGCGAAUAAUCCAAGAUAUCCGAAUGGGGAAACCCGAUGGAUGAAGAAUCCAUCAUUCUUAAAUGAAUAAAUAGUUUAAGGAAGCGAACCGGGAGAACUGAAACAUCUAAGUACCCCGAGGAAAAGAAAUCAACCGAGAUUUUGUGAGUAGUGGCGAGCGAAAGCGAAAGAGCCUGCAAGUGAUAGCGACUGAAGACAGAGGAAGCAAUUGGGAAAUUGCGCGACACAGGGUGAUAGCCCCGUACUUGAAGUCAGGGUUGCGGUACUAAAUUUGCGAGAAGUAGGGCGGGACACGAGAAAUCCUGUUUGAAGAAGGGGGGACCAUCCUCCAAGGCUAAAUACUCCUGAUUGACCGAUAGUGAACCAGUACUGUGAAGGAAAGGCGAAAAGAACCGGGGUGACCGGAGUGAAAUAGAACCUGAAACCGUGUACGUACAAGCAGUGGGAGCCAACUUGUUUGGUGACUGCGUACCUUUUGUAUAAUGGGUCAGCGACUUAUAUUUUGUAGCGAGGUUAACUGAAUAAGGGAGCCGAAGGGAAACCGAGUCUUAACUGGGCGUUAAGUUGCAAGGUAUAGACCCGAAACCCGGUGAUCUAGCCAUGGGCAGGUUGAAGGUUGGGUAACACUAACUGGAGGACCGAACCGACUAAUGUUGAAAAAUUAGCGGAUGACUUGUGGCUGGGGGUGAAAGGCCAAUCAAACCGGGAGAUAGCUGGUUCUCCCCGAAAUCUAUUUAGGUAGAGCCUUGAGCGGACACCUUCGGGGGUAGAGCACUGUUUCGGCUAGGGGGCCAUCCCGGCUUACCAACCCGAUGCAAACUGCGAAUACCGAAGAGUGAUACUCAGGAGACACACGGCGGGUGCUAACGUCCGUCGUGGAGAGGGAAACAACCCAGACCGCCAGCUAAGGUCCCAAAGUCUAUAUUAAGUGGGAAACGAAGUGGGAAGGCCCAGACAGCUAGGAUGUUGGCUUAGAAGCAGCCAUCAUUUAAAGAAAGCGUAAUAGCUCACUAGUCGAGUCGGUCUGCGCGGAAGAUGUAACGGGGCUGAAAUAUAGCACCGAAGCUGCGGCAAUGAUGUAAACAUUAUUGGGUAGGGGAGCGUUGUGUAAGCGGAAGAAGGUGAAUUGAGAGGUUUGCUGGACGUAUCACAAGUGCGAAUGCUGACAUAAGUAACGAUAAAACGAGUGAAAAACUCGUUCGCCGGAAGACCAAGGGUUCCUGUCCAACGUUAAUCGGGGCAGGGUGAGUCGGCCCCUAAGGCGAGGCUGAGAAGCGUAGUCGAUGGGAAACGGGUUAAUAUUCCCGUACUUGGAUAAACUGCGAUGUGGGGACGAAGAAGGUUAGGUUAGCAGACUGUUGGAUGUCUGUUUAAGCCGGUAGGUGGGGGAUUUAGGCAAAUCCGGGUUCCUAUAAACACUGAGAGGUGAAGACGACGCUCUAAGGAGCGGAAGUAACUGAUACCCUGCUUCCAGGAAAAGCCGCUAAGCUUCAGGUUUAUCUAAACCGUACUGAAAACCGACACAGGUGGUCAGGUAGAGAAUACUCAGGCGCUUGAGAGAACUCGGGUGAAGGAACUAGGCAAAAUAGCACCGUAACUUCGGGAGAAGGUGCGCUUACGGUAAUUGUAGCCCUUUACGGGUGAAGGUGAAGUAAGUCGAAGAUACCAGCUGGCUGCAACUGUUUAUUAAAAACACAGCACUCUGCAAACACGAAAGUGGAAGUAUAGGGUGUGAUGCCUGCCCGGUGCUGGAAGGUUAAUUGAUGGAGUAAUCGAAAGAGAAGCUCUUGAUCGAAGCCCCAGUAAACGGCGGCCGUAACUAUAACGGUCCUAAGGUAGCGAAAUUCCUUGUCGGGUAAGUUCCGACCUGCACGAAUGGCAUAAUGAUGGCCAGGCUGUCUCCACCCGAGACUCAGUGAAAUUGAAAUCGCCGUGAAGAUGCGGUGUACCCGCGGCUAGACGGAAAGACCCCGUGAACCUUUACUAUAGCUUGACACUGAACAUUGAAUUUUGAUGUGUAGGAUAGGUGGGAGACAAAGAAGUAGGUACGCCAGUACUUAUGGAGUCGGUGUUGAAAUACCACCCUUUAACGUUUGAUGUUCUAACGAGGCACCGAAGACAGGUGUUCGGACAGUGUCUGGUGGGUAGUUUGACUGGGGCGGUCUCCUCCCAAAGAGUAACGGAGGAGCACGAAGGUUUGCUAAUCACGGUCGGACAUCGUGAGGUUAGUGCAAUGGUAUAAGCGAGCUUAACUGCGAGACGGACAAGUCGAGCAGGUGCGAAAGCAGGUCAUAGUGAUCCGGUGGUUCUGAAUGGAAGGGCCAUCGCUCAACGGAUAAAAGGUACUCCGGGGAUAACAGGCUGAUACCGCCCAAGAGUUCAUAUCGACGGCGGUGUUUGGCACCUCGAUGUCGGCUCAUCACAUCCUGGGGCUGAAGUAGGUCCCAAGGGUAUGGCUGUUCGCCAUUUAAAGUGGUACGCGAGCUGGGUUUAGAACGUCGUGAGACAGUUCGGUCCCUAUCUGCCGUGGGCGUUGGAGAAUUGAGGGGGGCUGCUCCUAGUACGAGAGGACCGGAGUGGACGCAUCACUGGUGUACCAGUUGUCUCGCCAGAGGCAUUGCUGGGUAGCUAAAUGCGGAAGAGAUAAGUGCUGAAAGCAUCUAAGCACGAAACUUGCCUCAAGAUGAGUUCUCCCCGGCAUUAAGUCGGUAAGGGUUGUUUAAGACGAAGACGUAGAUAGGUGGGAUGUGUAAGUGUAGUGAUACAUUGAGCUGACCCAUACUAAUAGCCCGAGAGGCUUAACCAU